rnacentral:rRNA from 1 species
AAAUGAAUAGACGGGGGCCCGCACAAGCGGUGGAGCAUGUGGUUCAAUUCGAUGCAACGCGAAGAACCUUACCUGGGUUUGACAUGUACUGGAAGACUACCAGAAAUGGUGUCGCCUUCGGGCCGGUACACAGGUGCUGCAUGGCUGUCGUCAGCUCGUGUCGUGAGAUGUUGGGUUAAGUCCCGCAACGAGCGCAACCCUUGCGAAUAGUUGCCAGCAUUAAGUUGGGCACUCUAUUCGGACUGCCGACGUUAAGUCGGAGGAAGGUGGGGAUGACGUCAAGUCCUCAUGGCCUUUAUAUCCAGGGCUACACACGUGCUACAAUGGUCGGUACAGAGAGAAACCAAGUCGCGAGACGGAGUUAACCUCAUAAAACCGAUCUAAGUUCGGAUUGGAGUCUGCAACUCGACUCCAUGAAGCUGGAAUCGCUAGUAAUCGUGGAUCAGAACGCCACGGUGAAUACGUUCCCGGGCCUUGUACACACCGCCCGU